UACGGAGGGUGCAAGCGUUAAUCGGAAUUACUGGGCGUAAAGCGCGCGUAGGCGGCCACAUCAGCCGGUUGUGAAAGCCCCGGGCUCAACCUGGGAACGGCAUCCGGAACUGUGUGGCUAGAGUGCAGGAGAGGAAGGUAGAAUUCCCGGUGUAGCGGUGAAAUGCGUAGAGAUCGGGAGGAAUACCAGUGGCGAAGGCGGCCUUCUGGACUGACACUGACGCUGAGGUGCGAAAGCGUGGGUAGCAAACAGG
rnacentral:misc_RNA from 1 species